GUUGUGGCUCAGCGGUAGAGCACUCGCCUAGCAUGUGCAAGGCCCUAGGUUUGAUCCUCAGCACCACA
rnacentral:tRNA from 1 species